GUCCAGGCAGCCCAAGUUUGAAGUUUAGUGAAAGGAACCAGGGCUAAGAAAGCUGCAAGAGGAGGCAGAAGCACAGCAGUAGCACAGGAUUGUGAAGAGGUUGAGUCUGAUGAAUAGAAGGAAGAAAAUUUGGUAUCAUAUCCUGAUGGAGGAUGCUCAGGUUCAACAACUGCCUAAAGGCAAAGAACCAGAAAACAUUUCCCAGCUAAUGGGAAGCUGUGUGCAGCGUUCACUCUUUUAGGACAUGGAGCAUCCCAUCAGAAAUGCCAGUGACUAACAGUGCAGUUAUUAAUAGAGCUGGCCCCAGUGAUGCAACAAUUGGGCUGCGUGGAGCUCUGGGACUGUGCCCAGUCCAUGCCACAGGCAGCCCAGCACGG
rnacentral:lncRNA from 12 species